rnacentral:rRNA from 1 species
UGGGGAAUUUUGGACAAUGGGCGAAAGCCUGAUCCAGCAAUGCCGCGUGUGUGAAGAAGGCCUUCGGGUUGUAAAGCACUUUUGUCCGGAAAGAAAUCCUUGGCUCUAAUACAGUCGGGGGAUGACGGUACCGGAAGAAUAAGCACCGGCUAACUACGUGCCAGCAGCCGCGGUAAUACGUAGGGUGCAAGCGUUAAUCGGAAUUACUGGGCGUAAAGCGUGCGCAGGCGGUUUGCUAAGACCGAUGUGAAAUCCCCGGGCUCAACCUGGGAACUGCAUUGGUGACUGGCAGGCUAGAGUAUGGCAGAGGGGGGUAGAAUUCCACGUGUAGCAGUGAAAUGCGUAGAGAUGUGGAGAAUACCGAUGGCGAAGGCAGCCCCCUGGGCCAAUACUGACGCUCAUGCACGAAAGCGUGGGGAGCAAACAGGAUUNGAUACCCUGGUAGUCACGCCCUAAACGAUGUCAACUAGUUGUUGGGGAUUCAUUUCCUUAGUAACGUACUAACGCGUGAAGUUGACCGCCUGGGGAGUACGGUCGCAAGAUUAAAACUCAAAUGAAUUGACGGGGUCAUAGCUGUUUCCU